rnacentral:rRNA from 1 species
UACCAGCACCCCGAGUGGUCGGGACGAUUAUUGGGCCUAAAGCAUCCGUAGCCGGUUCUACAAGUCUUCCGUUAAAUCCACCUGCUCAACAGUUGGGCUGCGGAGGAUACUAUAGAGCUAGGAGGCGGGAGAGGCAAGCGGUACUCGAUGGGUAGGGGUAAAAUCCGUUGAUCCAUUGAAGACCACCAGUGGCGAAGGCGGCUUGCCAGAACGCGCUCGACGGUGAGGGAUGAAAGCUGGGGGAGCAAACCGG